GAAAUGCGAUAAGUAGUGUGAAUUGCAGAAUUCAGUGAAUCAUCGAAUCUUUGAACGCACAUUGCGCCCUUUGGUAUUCCUUAGGGCAUGCCUGUUCGAGCGUCAUCUAAACCUUCAAGCCCUGCUUGGUGUUGGGUGCCUGUCCCGCCUCCGCGCGCGGACUCACCUCAAAUCCAUUGGCGGCCCCCGCGUCGGCCACGAGCGCAGCAGAAACGCGAACUCGUGAGCCCGUCCGGGCGGCUCCCAGAAGCUACACCCACCCAGUUUGACCUCGGAUCAGGUAGAGAUACCCGCUGAACUUAGGC
rnacentral:misc_RNA from 1 species